GUGUGCAUUGUGUGUGCAAGGCAUGUCCACAAGAGUGUGCAUUGCACCUACACGUGAGCAACCAUGUGCGCACCCCUGCCUUGCACCCAUGCCCCACCACCCCCCCCGUGUUGCACGACGCCGUGCUCACACCUGUUGCACACCCACCACCAACGUGACCCCCACACUCACACUCACCACACCUCUCCUGCUGCUCUGCACGGGGAUGGGGAUGGUCCCAGUAAUGGUGACAAUCCCACUAAUGGUGAUGGUGAUAAUGGUGACAGUCCCAGUAAUGGUGACAGUGGUAACGGUGAGAGCCUCACUAAUGGUGACACAAUAAUGGUGACAAUCCCAGAAACGGUGAUGGUGGUAACGGUGACAGUCCCAGUAAUGGUGGCACAAUAAUGGUGACAAUCCCAGUGACGGUGAAGGUGAUAAUGGUGACAGUCCCAGUAAUGGUGACAAUCCCAGUGACGGUGACAGUGGUAAUGGUGACAGUCUCAGUAAUGGUGACACAAUAACGGUGACAGUCCCAGUAAUGGUGACAAUCCCAGUAAUGGUGACAGUCUUAGUGAUGGUGACGCAAUAAUGGUGACAACCUCAGAAAUGGUGACAAUCCCGGUAAUGGUGAAGGUGAUAACGGUGACAAUCCCAGUAAUGGUGACAAGCGCAGAAAUGGUGACAGUCCCAGUAAUGGUGACACAAUAAGGGUGACAACCUCAGAAAUGGUGACAAUCUCAGUAAUGGCGACACAAUAAUGGUGACAAUCCCAGUAAUGGUGACAGUGGUAAUGGUGACAAUCCCAGUAAUGGUGACGCAAAAUUGGUGACAGCAAUCCCAGAAACGGUGACAGCAGUGAUGGUGAUAGCGGUGACAGUGGUGAAAGUGACAAUCCCGGUGACGGUGACGAUCCUGGUGAACUUAACAAUGGGAGCGGUGAUAAUCCUGGUGACGGGGACGGGGACGGCGGGAACGGUGACAAACCCAGUAAUGGUGACAAUCCCGGUGACAGUGACAAUCCCAGUGAUGGUGACAGCCCCAGUGACGGUGACACCAGUAAUGGUGACAAACCCAGCAAUGGUGACAAUCCCAGUGACGGUGACAGUGACAAUCCCAGUAACGGUGACAAACUUAGCAGUGGUGACAAUCCCGGUGACAGUGACAGCCCAAGUGAC
rnacentral:lncRNA from 1 species